UGGGGAAUAUUGGACAAUGGGCGCAAGCCUGAUCCAGCCAUGCCGCGUGAGUGAUGAAGGCCCUAGGGUUGUAAAGCUCUUUCACUUGGGAAGGGUUGCAGAUUAAUACUCUGUAGCUGUGACAUUACCUUGAGAAGAAGCACCGGCUAACUCC
rnacentral:rRNA from 1 species